ACUCCUGAAUCUCCUGAAUCUUUGCACAUGAACUUUGUCCUAGUAGGACGCUUACCUCAGUGGCCAUGCUUGUACCAAACAUGUUCACAAACAGAGUGCAAAACAGCCUGGUAAUGCUGAUCAACCGGGCAAAGGACCUUGUCUUACUCCAAUUCGUAGGAUAUUUGAUCAAAACAAGGAAAAGGUGAAUGGUUUUCUUCUACACAGAGUCAGUUCCCUAGAACUCGUAACUUAUUCAAUAAACUUGAAGGGGGAUGUUGCACACAAGAUUGAACUUCAACAAAGUGGUAGAGAAGUCAUGUGAUGUGCUCAAAGACCUUAUAAUCAUCCCAAAGCCUUGGUGCUUGUUUUGCUCUACCUUUUUCUUCUGUAUAGAUUUUCAAUUAUUUUCAUAAUUUUAAAUACCAUGUAUUUGAUCUCUUUCUGAGUUUCUGGCUUAACAGUAACAAUCUUUGUUUUGGUUCCUGAGGUACUAUAUUAGGCCCUGCAAUUAAAGCAUACUGAGUGGUACAUUUGCUGGAGUUGUUUCUUGUACCCUUAAUGAGAGGCUUGUUAUUCUUGCU